rnacentral:antisense_RNA from 1 species
AUUUAUGGUGGCCGUACGCGGGCAGACUUCGGUCUGGCCGGGCUUCCUUAUUCGACCGGUUUCUCACCCCGCGUACGGCUGCCACCCAA